AGUGAACGCUGGCGGUAGGCCUAACACAUGCAAGUCGAACGGCAGCACAGUAAGAGCUUGCUCUUACGGGUGGCGAGUGGCGGACGGGUGAGGAAUACAUCGGAAUCUACUUUUUCGUGGGGGAUAACGUAGGGAAACUUACGCUAAUACCGCAUACGACCUACGGGUGAAAGCAGGGGAUCUUCGGACCUUGCGCGGUUGAAUGAGCCGAUGUCGGAUUAGCUAGUUGGCGGGGUAAAGGCCCACCAAGGCGACGAUCCGUAGCUGGUCUGAGAGGAUGAUCAGCCACACUGGAAAUGAGACACGGUCCAGACUCCUACGGGAGGCAGCAGUGGGGAAUAUUGGGCAAUGGGCGCAAGCCUGAUCCAGCCAUACCGCGUGGGUGAAGAAGGCCUUCGGGUUGUAAAGCCCUUUUGUUGGGAAAGAAAAGCAGCAGGUUAAUACCCCGCUGUUCUGACGGUACCCAAAGAAUAAGCACCGGCUAACUUCGUG
rnacentral:rRNA from 1 species